AACGAACGCUGGCGGCAUGCCUAACACAUGCCAGUCGAACGAGACCUUCGGGUCUAGUGGCGCACGGGUGCGUAACGCGUGGGAACCUGCCCUUAGGUUCGGAAUAACUCCCCGAAAGGGGUGCUAAUACCGGAUAAUGUCUUCGGACCAAAGAUUUAUCGCCUUUGGAUGGGCCCGCGUUGGAUUAGCUAGUUGGUAGGGUAAAAGCCUACCAAGGCGACGAUCCAUAGCUGGUCUGAGAGGAUGAUCAGCCACACUGGGACUGAGACACGGCCCAGAAUCCUAGGGGAGGAAGCAGUGGGGAAUACAGGAAAAUGGGGGAAAGCAUGAUCCAGCAAUGCCGCGUGAGUGAUGAAGGUCUUAGGGUUGUAAAGCUCUUUUACACGGGAUGAUAAUGACAGUACCGGGAGAAUAAGCUCCGGCUAACUACGUG
rnacentral:rRNA from 1 species